AGUACUGAGUAGCUCCACCGUUAUUGUUGAUCACUUCAAAAAUUCGUUGCGGCAUGCUUGAUGCAAGCGUUUCCAUGAGGUGAGUGGGAACAUUUCUCCAAGUGGUGAAGACGGCUGCACGAAGGGCAUCAACUGUCUGGAACUGUUGUCCAUUUUUGUAAACUUCCCUUGCCAUCCAUCCCCAAAGGUUCUCAAUUGGAUUUAGAUCAGGGGAACAAGCAGGAUGGGUCAAAAGAGUGAUGUUAUUCUCCUGGAAGAAGUCCCUUGUCCUGCGGGCAUUGUGUACUGUGGCGUUGUCCUGUUGAAAAACCCAUUCGUUACCACACAGACGAGGGCCCUCAGUCAUGAGGAAUGCUCUCUGCAACAUCUGGACAUAGCCAGCGGCCGUUUCACGCCCCUGCACUUCCUGAAGCUCCAUUGUUCCACUGAAGGAAAAAGCACCCCAGACCAUUAUGGCGCCCCCUCCACUGUGGUGCGUAGAAAACAUCUCAGGUGGGAUCUGCUUGUCAUGCCAGUAACGUUGGAAACCAUCAGGACCAUCAAGGUUAAAUUUUUUCUCAUCAGAGAAUAAAACUUUCUUCCACCUUUGAAUGUCCCAUGUUUGGUGCUCUCUUGCAAUGUCCAAACGAGCAAUUCUGUGGCGUUCAAGGAGAUGAGGUCUUUGAAGACGUUUUUUGUUUUUGAAGCCCUUCAGUCUCAGAUGCCGUCUGAUGGUUAUGGGGCUGCAACCCUGCUUAUGCAGUUCAACAACCCGACCACGUUCAAAAA